GACUAGAAAAAAAAAAUGCCGGGAGAGGGAGGAACGCCAAACGCGCAGAGCGCCCUACCUGUCCGGCGACAAAUAGCAGCCACCAGGUGCUGCCGAAGAUGCGGACCGCGAGCGCCGAGUGCCAGGGCGCAGCCGGGCGUGCCAUGGUCCCCCCGCGGGGAAGAGGGGGCAGUCCCAGGCGAGACCCCUUCUCGGAACCUGUAGCCGCUUCCCUCGCGGGCUGCGGAGGCCGGACUCCCGGGCCUAUUCAAGUCUGCACUACGUCAGAGUAAGUGUUGAAAAGGCUGUCCGUGUGAAUACUGUACUGCUAAGGUAUGGCUGACAUCACUUGCAGAGGUCCUGGGGUCAGCCCUGAUGGAAUGCAGAAUCUGAUACGGAAUCUAACAAAGAUGGAUAAACCCUACAGCUGUGAUGUCAUCUGGAUUUUUGUGUAGGGUGUGCAGCUAGAUCAUUUCCAUGAUCAAAAUACCUCAUUACGUGUACCCACCAGACAUCAGAAGGACUGGAUCAGCCACGUGGUCUAUUUCUUCAGGUUUUCACAAGACAGCCUUGUGGACGGAGGAAGGAAGAUGGAUACAAGACAGGAAAAUAUGAGGAAAUGGAAAUCUCCUAAGCAGUUCAUAAAGUUGACACCCAGGUUCUGAAUAAGAGUAUGUGAUAUCUUCUGAACACACACACACACACAGAAUAAAGCAGACACGUUCUUGGUCCUACAAAUGAUUUCCGUGAGAACAUUGUUUCAGUUAUUGGCCACACAAUCUCAAUGCCAACCCUGACAAGGUCUAAUUAGCAUUCUGUCAAUCAUAAUUCUCUACUGAGAGUUUUGUAGAUGAUGGAGUACCAGUGAGCAGACAGAUGACCACCGAUGUCUCAUUAGCACAACCCCAGAACCUAAUUAC